rnacentral:lncRNA from 1 species
GACACUUGGAAGGGUUCGACUUGUGAUUUUGUGAUACGAAAUCCAGCAUAUCUAUUUUGUUUGCUGUGUCAUACAAUAAAAUAAUAAUAACAACAACAACAACAACAAUGUAGCCGUCUCCAACUCACUGAAGCUCUUUCAUGACACACUGGCCAACCAUAUCUUGCCCUAGCUCUAAACUGUCUGCAUCAAGGAAGAGAUUAGACGAAAUAGACAACCGACCCUUCAAAUUCUUGUUUCUUCUCCAAAUUCCAGCACUCCUGGAAGUUUUGAAAGUGCAGCCGUACUUUUAGCAACAAUGUCCUUCCACCACAUAGGAGCCUUUGGUUACUCUAGAGUAUAACUUAUGUAUAUUUUAUAAAGAUCACCAGGGAGACCAUGAAUAGUUUUAUUUAGAUAAAAUCAAUCACGUUGGUGGGAUUAUGUAUAUACAAGGGUGGAGAGCACAGAAAGAUAAUUAUUUCUGUUUGCAUAAAUCAUUUUCUUAUUAUACCGGGCUGGGAGAAAGGAGGGCAAAAGAAGAUCAAAGUAUCAAUUUGCUGAUCAGGAUGGAGUGGCAUAGUGCAACUGGGAAUUGGGAGGGAAGGCAGAUCAUUACUUUCAUUUAAAUAAGUCAAUUUGUUGUUGGUCAAGGAAUUUCACUUAGUCGACAGGAGGGCACAGAAAAUGUCUUGCAGCUUGGUUGUUCAGAAGGCAAAAAGGCUUUUCAAAAUGGAGAUUUUAUCCCCAGGAAAAAGGGGCGGCCUUCAAGAUCAAAAAGAUACUUUUGCAAGCCGACAACAGCAAAGGCUUUGCAGGCUGGCUACAAACCUCUGUUGAUGGUUAACUAUCAGGGUGUUGCUGAGUCUGUAGCAACCCUGGAAGAAACGCAAAAAGGGUGCUAUUUCCUACAACUAUGGGACAAUACAAGUCCAACUCCUGGGAGACGGAACAGGACCUUCACACGGAUGGAACUACAUUAUGAUCUGGUUCAGGACGUGGUAUUCCCUGUUUUACAAGGAAAUAUAGUGCUUAGCUUGCAAUAAAUUAACUGUUACAUCUCUAAUAAAAUAUUUUGUAAUCUGGAAAAUCUAAGUCUCUAUAAGUAGAUAAAUUUCAACAAAAUAGACCAGUGUUUUAUUUCAGUGUAAAGCAUAUGUUACAAGAUGUUCAAGAAUUCUAAUCCAAAGGUAUUGCAGUUCCUCGAGUGUGCUCCUCACAAAUAUAAAGAAGACAUUCUAGAGCAUGCGUGGGCAAACUUUGGCCCUCCAGGUGUUUUGGAUUUCAACUAUCACAAUUCCUUGCAGCCUACCAGCUUUUAGGAAUUGUGGGAGUUUAAGUCCAAAACCUCAUGGCCGAAGUUUGCUCAUGCCUGUUCUAGAGGUUUGCAUUUUCCCUCAAAUCCAGCAUGCUAAUGGAGUUUAAUCUG